rnacentral:rRNA from 1 species
UCUCUUGGUCAUUUAGAGGAAGUAAAAGUCGUAACAAGGUUUCCGUAGGUGUAUCUGCGGAAGGAUCAUUACUAGAGCAAAGGAUAGACACUACCUUACCUCGGUAAGAGUUUAGAGUCGUCGGGCCUCUCGGAGAAGCUCGGUCCUGAACUCCACCCUUGAAUAAAUUACCUUUGUUGCUUUGGCGGGCCGCCUCGUGCCAGCGGCUUCGGCUGUUGAGUGCCCGCCGGAGGACCACAACUCUUGUUUUUAGUGAUGUCUGAGUACUAUAUAAUAGUUAAAACUUUCAACAACGGAUCUCUUGGUUCUGGCAUCGAUGAAGAACGCAGCGAAAUGCGAUAAGUAAUGUGAAUUGCAGAAUUCAGUGAAUCAUCGAAUCUUUGAACGCACAUUGCGCCCUCUGGUAUUCCGGGGGGCAUGCCUGUUCGAGCGUCAUUAUAACCACUCAAGCUCUCGCUUGGUAUUGGGGUUCGCGGUUUCGCGGCCCCUAAAAUCAGUGGCGGUGCCUGUCGGCUCUACGCGUAGUAAUACUCCUCGCGAUUGAGUCCGGUAGGUCUACUUGCCAGCAACCCCUAAUUUUUUUUAAGGUUGACCUCGGAUGCAGGUAGGGAUACCCGCUGAACUUAAGCAUAUCAAUAAGCGGAGGAA